UGGCCCACAAGUAACACCAGUCACUGUGAUUUCGUGGGAGUCAUCACCAAUAGAAAUACAGUCAUCCCCAGUUCCAAUCUUUGAAUGAGUAAUGUUGAUACCAGUCGAAGCCCCGAUAUGGAUUCCAUCUGUGUUUCUGCUCUCGUCAGGUGCUGUGAUGGUAAGCUGUUGAAAUGUAGUAUGGUUGCACCGGAAAACAUGGAUGUGGAAAAAUUUGCUGUUAAGUGAAGUUAUGUCCUGAACUUUGGAAUUUGUGAGGAAUUCAAACCGCAGAUUAACGGGAGGAGGUUUGCAAUUUUUGUUUUUGUGGCAGUCAUUUUGAUUCCAAGAAAGUGCUCCUUGGCCAUCAAAAGUCCCACCACCUGAUAAGGUGAGCAUGUCAAUGUACUGAAAACCAACCCAAGUAUCCGGUCUUGUGAGUUGGCCAGCGUCUGCUGGAGCCUGCAAUGUGCCUUGAACUUGCAUCUCAAUAGGAGCCUUACAGGGGCCUCUGAAAGUUGCUUCUUUUAACUUGUAUGUCCCGCUCGGAACGACAACUUUACUCGCGGAUGGCGAUGCACAUGCAUCACUCCAAGCCUUGGCCAAGGCCGUACUGACAUCAGAGCCAGGCUUUGCACCGUAUGUUGCACUUGUGGUUGUUAGUUCAUCUAUUUUUUACCAUAUUCUUUUAAUUUUUCUUAUAAUCCAUAGGUUUUGCUUGCUAUCUACCGGUGACAUCCAUCUUGAUUUUCCUUCCAAUUUGUUAUUUUAUUCUCUGUUUUUUUUUUUUUUUCCCUUUGGAAGGAUGAUGAACUCCGUUUUGAGUGAAGGCCAUUUAAAGUCCGAUUGGGAAGGCUCACACCAUCAAACUAUCCGACCAAUCACAACUAUUUUUAGACACAGUUGCAUUCUAGUUUAGCUUUAUGUUCUGUAAAUAGUAAGCCGAUUAGCAUAGAGAAUAUCGUCACCAAAGGCGAUUUCUAGGACGUGCUAGCUGUUUGUAGUACNNNNNNNNNNNNNNNNNNNNNNNNNNNNNNNNNNNNNNNNNNNNNNNNNNNNNNNNNNNNNNNNNNNNNNNNNNNNNNNNNNNNNNNNNNNNNNNNNNNNNNNNNNNNNNNNNNNNNNNNNNNNNNNNNNNNNNNNNNNNNNNNNNNNNNNNNNNNNNNNNNNNNNNNNNNNNNNNNNNNNNNNNNNNNNNNNNNNNNNNNNNNNNNNNNNNNNNNNNNNNNNNNNUGGUUGUUAGUUCAUCUAUUUUUUACCAUAUUCUUUUAAUUUUUCUUAUAAUCCAUAGGUUUUGCUUGCUAUCUACCGGUGACAUUGAUCUCACCUACAAUGGAAACAAAGGCCCUCUUACCUCUCAAUGUUAAUGUCAAGCCCACCAUUAUUUGUGUGACAAAAGCCCUUGCCUGUGCUACCUAUGCUGGGUGAAAGAAAUGGAAAGUACUAAAGAUAAAUUGUUGUGUUCUUUGGUUUUUUUGAUUUUGUGGUGCUUGUACAGGUCUUUUUUCUUCGCUCAGAUGCCUUCACAUGUUUUGAGCUAUAAAAUUCUAAUAUAUUUAAUAUUUGCAAAUAAAUUGCUAGUGUUAAAACAUACAUUCACUAAUUCAUCAUUGUCUAGAUAAUGCUUCAGUUUCUACUCUAUAUACUUUUCUUAGCCUACAACCAGUUCGAUGCUUGGCCAAUUGAAGCUGGGAUUAGUAUGCCAGCUUGAUUUUGAUCCUUCCACUAUAUUAAUUGAAGAUUAUCAGACAAACCGAAUGUGUGUGUAUAUAUAUGUAUAUAUAUAUAUAUACAUUUAUUCUCUCAUCCAGACGGUCUGGACGUUAUUAUCGUGCGGGCGCCAUUGUAAACAAGGAGUACACUUUUAAAAUAAAUUAAUAUUUAAAGAGUGGCUAUACUUGUUAUUUAUGCGAAUAUUCUAUACUAUUUAAAUAUUUGAAUGGAUGUCAAGCAUAUAGCCGACCAGCUAUACUGCAUAAAAGUGUGUUCUUUUUUGUAAUCAAGUAAUAUCUUACCAUUUCAAAAUUAAUUGAAUUUUUAUGUAUUUAGUGAAUAAUUAUUAUUGAAAUAUUUUACUAAUUUCAAUAUUUACUUCAUAAAUUGUAAUUAAUUAUUUAAAAUUAUUUUGUGGACUUUAAUUUUCUACAAAAUUAGUUUAUUUUGUUUAAUAUGUUCAAAUAUUUUAAUAGUAUAGCCGUGCGACUGUACUAUUAAAAUAUAUUAAUAUUUAAAGCGUAUAGCCAUGCGGCUAUACCUGUUAAGUAUAUUUUAGUUUUAAGAGUAUAGCCGCACGACAAUACUUUUAAAAUAUUUAGACAUAUUGAAUAUUCGAACAGAUUAAACUAAAUAAACUAAUUUUGUACAAAAUAAAAUAAAAAAACAAAGUCCACAAAAUAAUUUAAAAUAAUUAAUUACAAUUUAUUAAGUAAUUUUUGAAAUUACUAAAAAAUUUAAAUACUAAUUGUUCACUAAAUUUAUAAUAAUUAAAGCAAUUAAAAAAGGCUAAGAUCUAACUUUUUAUCUUUCAAUGGAUCCAUCUGCUUUGAGUUUCACAGUAUAGAUCAACCCGCAUCCCACAGUAUUCUUUCCAUAAGGUAAAGGCACGAGCUCUCAUGUGGCAAUCUUCUGGAGAGCUCGCAUGUAACACCCCGUCCCAAAAAUACUGUUCAAUUGAUUAUUUAAUUGUGGAUUUACAAUUAAGCCCUUGGGGGUAGGGUUACUUUAGUCACUUUUCAAUCUGGACGGUUUUUCAGGAUUUUAGUAACACCAUUUUGUAGAGCUCGCUCUCACGAGUUCGUAGACACAUAGUGGGCUCAAAUCGGAGUUAUAACGAAGAAGUUGUGGUCCACGGAAGUGCAGUGGCAAAAACGUAAAAUUUUCAAAGUUGGAUUUUAAAAUACCCAAUCAGCCUCUCUCUCUCUCUCUCUCUCUCUCUCUCUCUCUCUCUCUCUCUCUACGCACACGACUUUCUCUCUUUACAAGAGCGGCGGCAAAUUUUCGACCGUGAUUUUGUCAUCGUCCGGUGUCCGAUUCGAGCAAAAUUGGUUACAAAAGUUUCGUAACAGUGUCCUCUAUCUUACCCACAUUUCCCAGCUCAAAAACCCAAGGAAAUUAAACUGAGCUACUGGAAGUUCGAGUGAUUUUUGAAGUUUUCGAGGCUGUUUUCAGCGAUCUCGGUGGCGGUUUUCGUCUAUCCAGGUAUGAAUCUUCAUCCCAUCCACGUGCUCUAGUUGUUUAUGUUGGUAUCUUGGAUAAAUUUUGAGGUUUUACAUGUCGUUUAAAAUACCCAUUUUAGCCAACGGUUUUGGCUUCAAUUCGGCUAGUUCCGACUAGUUUUUGGCCGUGGUCCAAGAACAGAACUUGAUCCCCUAGUAAGUCUGAAUCUGUUGGCAUAGGUAUUCACUGGUGGUUUGGAGAUUUUUCGUCGCUGAAAAAUCUUUUAAGACACCCACGCGCUGCUGGCGGUGGGUGGCGGCCCAUGGAGUUCUAAAUUGUUACCCUUGUUGUCCUGAGCACGACGGUAUGCUUGGAUUUUGAUUUGAUUAUCGUUUGACUGUCGAACGGAUAUUGCACCUGUUAUGCGAUAUUCGGGUUCAAUAGGUUUGGACCGUUCAAUCGGUCCCAUUUUCUAAUGCGUUGUUCCUCGUACUUCUAAGAUUUGUGUUGGAACUGGUGGAUCGAGAAUGGGAGUCCCGGAUACUCCUAAUCAAUGAUUCUAGGGCUAAGUAAACCGGUUACCAUCCGAUCGUGUGAUCGAGACCAAACUCUGAAAACUUGUUAAGUAGACCUUGUUGGACUUAUAGUAAAGUUUGGAUCGAAAAUAGGAGGUUGUGGACCCCUAGAGCCCAAUUGGUCAAAUUCAGCGAUCGGGGUCAAACUGACCGUUAGAUCGUGACGGGACUUCUAGAAUGGGCUGAACUUUUGGUUAUGGACCAAUAGGAAUUGUCAUAUAGCAAUUGGGGUUGGGGGCCCUUCGAGCCCAGUUGACUUAGAUUGUGGGCUUUGUUGGCUCGGUCGAGGCCUUUUAGUAGUUGUAAUUGUAAUUGGAGGUUUGUUUUAAAAUGGUAUUGUGUUUUGACCGUUUCAUUAAAUUUUUAUGAAUUAUUAUGUUAUCGCUUUUACUUUCCAUGAAUAAGGAAUGGCUUGGAUAACCGGAUUUUGGCAUGAAUAAGGAAUUAAUUAAAUGCCUGAUUGUAUGUCUAUAUUUAAAUAUAUGCUCGGUGGCUUGAAAUCGAUGAAUGAUGGACACUAGUUUUCUCAAUAGUAUGUUGUACAUAUUUGAAUGUAGUUUGAGAACAGUUUUGAAAGAUUAUGCAUGGUCAAGUUCAAGUUAAGGAAUGUUGGGAUUGAUCACAUUUUAAAAAAGGAUUUUUGGUUAUCUAUUUAAAAAUUGAUUUUUGGAAAUUUGAGAAAGAAUUUGGAAACUGGAUUAGUGGAAAAAGAGGAAUUUUAUGAUAAGUUUCGGAAAAUGGUUUUCAAAACCCACCACCAGAGUACCGCCCCCCAAGUUGCCUUCGGAACAGUCUAGUCAUUUAUGACAAUGCCCACGAGUCUCGGGGACCCCUGAACCAUGUGGUGUGAGGAUUUGCGUUCUCGGGUUGAUUAUAUCUUCCUGAGUCGUGCGAGGGGAUUUGACGGAUAUGGGUUUCGGGCUGAUCACCCGAUUCUGCGAGGAUAUGCGUUCUCGGGCAGACCACGUAUUCCCCGAGUUACAUGGGAAAGUAGUGGGGAAAGUGAAGCCCUCCUCCCCCCUUGGGUUUUGUUUUCCCUCAUCACUGGAAAGUUUGGGAAAAUGAACCAACAUUAAAUGCACAUUUUUCAUGAUCAUUUUGUCCCCCUUAAAAAUUUAGAAUUACAAUAUAUCAUUAAAUGCGUUCUUUUUUUUAUUUGAGUUAAUACAGGUAUAAUUGGAAAAUUAUACAAAUUUUGUUUUCCAUUUCUACUCAAAACGAACAUGGGAAACGAAAUAAAGGGAUAUCUCCUGGUUACUUUCAUUUCCCGUCUCUUGGGAAAUGACAUGGGAAGUGAUUUCCCCUCAAAUCCAUUCUGUGAACCAAAUGGGGCCUUAAGGUAAGAGCUUUUCCCCCAUAACAAGAGUUUUCUUUAGGGUUUUCCAUCCCUGGUUUGUCUGGGGUUUUCUUUAUUUUCUUACCAAACUGGUGAUAUACCGGGGUUUCCCUUCGAUAUCCAAGUAGUUGGAAUGGAAGAGGUGAUAAAUUCAUUGGAGAAAGUACUCAUCCUAACUGAAGACGAGAAUGAUUCGAUUUAGUAGGACAAAAUGAUGUCGAUGACGUGGGGGAGCGACUCAAGACGAGCCUGGUUGGAAAUGUCUUUACAACUAAUGUUUUCAACCGGGAGACAUUCAAGCAAACGAUAUUGAUGAUUUAGAACACAGCUCGUGAGGUGGGGGUGAAAGAUUUAGGUGAAAAUAUCUUUUUGUUCAUCUUUGUGACGGAAGGGGAUUGACUGAAGGUGUUGUGCAGUCGGCCUUGGAAUUUUGAAAAGCUCUAGUAUAACUUGAGAUUCCUGGUGGUAGUAUUGCUCCAUAAAAAAUGCAUCUAAAGUAUGCAGAAUUCUGAAUUGAAGUCCGUAACGUACCACUGAGUUGUGAGAAGACAAAUAUGGGGAGACAAAUUGGGAAUAUCUUGGACAGUGUUUGGAUGUAACAUAGGGCAUGGACGGGGAGUGUUUGGGUAGAUUUAUGUGGAUGCGUGUUUGUUUGGAUGUCUCCAAGUCGUUACGGUGAGGAAAAUGGUGAUUCUACCUUCUGGAAACAUAGAGUUAGUAGAUUUCCGAGACGAACAAUUGCCAGAAUUUUGUUUUGUGUGCGACAGAGUGGGUCAUGUGUUCAAGGUGUGUUCUUUUGUCGACCAGGCAGCCAAGCAAGCCAGCAAAAAGCCUAAAGGGACAUGGUUAGAGGCCACCACUGAUUUUAUCACUACAAGGGCAAGUAGUCCUAAGCGAUCCAACUGUGGUGGUAUGAGUAGACAUGUAUACGAAUAUCUAUGUAUGUGUGUGCACUGGGACCUAGGAAUUUUUUAGCGAAGAUGCAAUUUUGAAAGGCUAAAAACUGUUUGUGGAUUGAACAUCUAAGGUUUUUUUUACCUAAAUUGACCUUAGGUCCCUUAAUGCAUUCAUAUAAUACAUUAAAAAUUAUUUUAUAUAAAAAUAUUGAAUAAGUAUGAAAAAUGGUUUUUUGGAAUAAUCAUUUUCACAAGAUAAUUUUGGCGGCUUUUAUUCCUUACACAUCAAAUAAGAAAACUUAAUUUUAUGAAAUUUUAGUAUGAAGUAUAUAUUGACGUAAUGAGCCAUCAUUUUUAUCAUAAAUCGUAUUUUGCACUAAAACCGAUUUUUUCAUAUUUUGAGUUGGUGGGAAUUUAAUUUUCUAGUAUUUUUAUUUGAAUCCAAAUGGGGGGUACUUCCUUAUUUACAUUGUAAACUUAAGUAAAUGGAGUAAUAUAAAAAUAAAUGAAAGUAAAACAACAAAGACAUUUACUUAAAUGUUGAAAAUGGAAAUAAGGUAAUCUGUACAUCAGCUGAGCAAAGGGGCAAUUUGAAGCCUUAAUAGGUCCGUCACUGCGUGUGUGUAGAAGAUUACCAUAAUCUUUUACGGGAACACAAAAGAAAAAUAGAAGACAUUAUUUAAAAAAUAUAAUAGAAUGGAAUGUCAUACCAUAGUUAUUUGGUAAAUCAUCGAUUCGAUUGAAUAUAGAUGUCAUCCUUCUAAUCUUAAAGGUUCGUUUUCAUUUAUACAAAGAACAUGACCUCUCCACAAAAAAACCCUAGCCCCCUUUCUCCCAAAAAACACUCUCAGAGCCUUUUCCAUCUUGAGGGGGGAAGAAGCCAUUAUUCUUCCCCCCUCUCCUCUCCUCUCUUCUCUUCCUCUCUUCCUCCUUUCACCUCUUCCCCCAUUUUCAAAGACAAAGGGUUUUCCCUAUUUGUCUUAGUUUUGUUGUGAUAUUCAUCCAACCAUUAGUGGUGGCUGCAGCUCAGCGUCAGAUCUUCACCUGCAUUUCGGCGUCAGAUCUCCACCACCAUCUUUUUUGCAAUUUCUUUAUGUUUGGAAUAAGUUGCAGAGACUCUUUGGGUUCUCUGUGUAGUUUUCACCUCUCCUUUUGUGAGAGUUUUUCAUCUCUCAUUUGUGAGAGAUUUUCAUCUCUCCUUGGUGAGAGUUUUAUUUGUAUUGUUAUGGCUUGAUUUUUUCAAUCUUUAUCUCUUUUUUAUUAUUCUAAUUUGCAAUCUUAGUUGGGAUGCCUAUGCCAGAGUUUCUUCGAUCUUGCCUGAUCAUUGGUGGAGACAUGCCUGAUUUUCUUAAUUUGCUCCGUUAUUGUAAUGGCCCUUUUGUGACCAGUUUGUAUUGGCCAUUUGUGACUAGUGGCGUUUUUGGCUGAAUUAUGAAUGCAAUCAUAGAGUUUCUCAAAAAAAAAAAAAAGAUGUCAUCCUUCUUGGUGGACCAAUUAAUAAGUCCAAGUAACGCUUUUUCAUGAUUCUUUUGAACAAAAAUCUUCUAAGAUUACUGCAAUCAAAUCAGAAGUCGAUACAUUUAUUUUCCUUGGUGAGAGAAUCCACAAUACGACUCUCAUGCUUGCAUAUCAUCUAUUUAAAAAUAUAAAAAUCCAAAUUGUUAUAACAAACUGCGUACUUAUACGAUGAAGACAAAUAUUAAGAGUGCUGCUAUUUCCACUCACCUGUCCUAUUUUCCCACAUACCUUAUCUUCCCACCCACCAAACACAAUCCUAUUUUUCCACCCACCAAUAUUCCUAAAAUACCCUUUUAAUUAUUACCUCAUUUCCUCUCUCCUUUAUUCUCUUUGCUCAUGUCUUCUCUCUCUCUGACGCCCACACAUCUCUCUCUCAUUUUUGCUGUAUCUUAUUUUCUACAAAAUUUGAAAUUUGAAAGCAAACAAUAGUAAGUAAUACAGUAGUAAAACGAUAAAAGAAGCAACUUCAUAUCACGAAAUUUGAUGACAAUGGCUAGUCAGCAUGCAAAAAAUGACCAGCCCUUGAAACCAAAACCUGGCGCAGGCUCUCCAAUUUCUAAACGUACCCAGCAACCUCUUUAUCCACCUUCCAAACUUUCUGGUCCGCUGACAGAAACUUGUUCAUCCUCAGGUUUUCAUAUUUUUAAUUUGUUUAAGAAAAAAAAUUAGAGUCCAAGAAAUACUGAUCUCCCAAUGCUUUAAGUAAUUGUAAAGAUCUUAGAAAUUCUGUUCAAAAAGGAUUUCCUUACCUUUUCGCCAAAAUCGUUCUCUUCAACAUCCAUUCUCCUAUUGUUUUCUUCUUCAUAAACAAUUUGAUUGAAUGAAUAGAAAAGAGAAGAAAAUUAUUUGAGAAAUGAGUUCUGAGCAUUGAAAAGUCAUAAGAGGAAUCAUGAGCUAGGAGUCAUAGCUUUCUUUUGUUUUUUUCUCUUUCUGUCAAACAAUAGGGUUACGUGAGAACAUAGUCUGAGUUUUUUUUUUUUUUUUCCCUCUUUCUUUUUCCUGAAGUCCUUUUAAGUCAUUUUAUAUAAUGAGGUUAAAUUUGUCUUUAAAAGUUUAAAGAUAAGGUGGGUGGAAACAUAAGACAGGUGGGUGGAAAUAGCAGCACUUAAUAUUAAUAUGGGAUAACUUGGCUAUCAUAGAAGGUAAUCAAAUAGAGAAUUAAUCUUUCCAAAAGGAUAGAAAUAAUAAUUGUUUUAGGAAAACCAAAGGUUACACACAAAAGAGGUAAUUCCAAAACCCUUGCUUGAAAACCCUAAAGGCACACAUGCCUCCUCUCUCUGUGUGGCUCUCACACCACCCCCAUUUUCUCCCUAAGAAAAUACUCCUAUUCCUUUGAAAAAUACCCACAUCUCCUUGAGACUAUUUUCCGACUUGGGCAUCGGAGGGCCCAGGACCACCACCACAUUGGUGUUUAUCCGAUUUAUUAUUCUUGUUUUGCAGGAAAUCUUGGAAGAACAUUUAAAGUGGAGUGAAGAUCUUCCAUAAAUCUACCUGGGAGGAAAUUUGCUACCACAAUAAUUUCUACUAACAUGAGAAGAACUUCCCAAGUGUAAAAAUAAAAGUAAUUGUAUAGUAAAGGCAUCAUAAAUUAGAAAACUAACAAGAAAAAGAAUAGAAAACUACCAUUGUAGACCAUUCCUUUUAAGAAUUCAUCAUAAAUAGGUUAAGAAUUCUAUGCCUGGUAUAAUAACAAUUUGCUAUUAAAAAAGAAUAGGUCAGUUAGGCCAUUAAUACAUAUGUUAAAUGAUGACGUGGCAAACAUGAGUUUCAAUGUUUUUGCUGAUGUGUAAUAAAAUAUUUAUAAAAAAUUAUUUAUUUUUGAAAUAAUUUAAAAAAAGUAAAAAAAUAAAUUAAGUAAAAUAAAUGCAUAACAUUAAAUUGAAAAAAGUCAAAAACACAGAUACAAUUAUUCUCUCUCAUAUAAUAUCUCUACAAAAGAUUUGGGACAAGAUGAACGCGCCUCACGCGCUUUGAAGGUUUUCUCUGUUUCCUCACUUGUUUUGCGUGUGCUCAAGGCUGUGAUUACAGCGGCCGUCGACGACGGUCUCUGUGAUGCCGGAAUUUGUUUUCUCUGCUGGGGUGGGUGGUUCCCUUAACGAUGGCCCUAUUGCUGGUGAGAAAAGAGCUCGAACCCUGGAGAUAUUGGAUGUUGGCGGACUGUAAUCGGACGAGCCGUCUCCCCCUCUUCCUCCAAUCCCGAUGAGUUUUAAGGAUAAAGUUUCUGGGGAUUUUGGUAUGGCGGAGGAUCAGUUGGUGUUAAGCGAUGAUAUGUUGUAAUUCAGCAAGGGGCAAUUCCCUCAAUACAUUUCUCAGGCAAAGUAAAGAGCUCUUUGUAUCGGCCUUGGCGUUUUGCUGUAAUUAUUAAGCUCAUGGGUCGUCCUCUGGCUUUCACAUUUCUCAGAUCUCGUCUUCUCCAGAGAUGGGCACUUAAGGGUCCUAUGAGCUUAAUAGAUCUAGAGAUUAACUACUUCAUUGUGAAGUUCCUUUAUGAGGAAGAUAUGAGAUACGUGCUCACUGGUGGUCCUUGGCAAAUUGCUGGCCAAUACAUUGUGACACAGAAAUGGAAGCUUGGGUUUAAUGCGAAGGAGGAGAAGAUCACCCAUAUGACUGCUUGGGUUUGAAUUAAUGGGCUGAACGUUGAAUAUUUUCGUGUUGAUGUUAUGGAAAAAAUUGGAAAUCUUGUUGGUGCUACGGUCAAGGUGGAUGCUCGUACUCUCAGUCAAGGUCGUGGUAAGUUUGCUCGAAUUUGUGUGGAACUUGAUUUGGCUAAGCCUUUUACCCCAUUCAUUAAGAUUGAAGGCCGUACAUAUGGGGUUGUGUAUGAGGGAAUUAAUUUGGUUUGCUUUGAAUGUGGAUGUUUUGGGCAUGGGAGAGAUUCUUGCCCUAUUAUUUUGCAAGCCAAACAGCAGGUUCCAGAGUCAGAUAAUGCUGAUUGUAUGGAGGAUAUUUCUACUGUCCAGGUUAAUGUGAAUUUAGGUGCUGCUACAAAGGAGGCUGAGGUUCCAGCAAAGAUGCACGGGGAGUGGAUGUUGUUGAAGCCAAGGAAUUUUAGGAAGAAUAGCACAAAUGAUAUAGGGAAGGGUGCUGAGCUUAGCAAGAGGAAUACAAAGGAUACUGGUACGAAAGCUAUUAGUCCUAUCUUUGGUUCUCGUUUCAAUGUGUUGAUUGAGGAGGUUGGCAGAGAAGAGGAUAUGGAGGGAUCUACUCCUGUUAAGACUAGUGAUUCUAGUUUUAAAAAACAGGGUUCUUUUGCCAAUACUUAUUCUACUAAGGGAAAAAGUGCUGGGGUGAAAUUUGCUUCAUCUCGUGACUCUGGCACAUGGGUGUUUGAAAAACCUCUCAAAGAUAUUUCCAAUUCCGUGGUAGCUAAUUCUAGUGGUGGUGGUGUUAAAAGUGGUUCUGUUUUAAGGAGGCCUUGGAAGAAAGAGCUGGGCCUAAAUCUUUCUCUUGUCAUGAUAUUGAACCUGUGAGGCUGCAAGUUAAGGGCUCUGAUGUUCAAGAUGAUGUUCGGGGGAAGUUUUCUUUUGAUUUAGGUGGCUCUCUUUUUCAAAAGUUGCCUUUGGGUAAGGGAGGUUUAUUUUUUGGUCAUGAACCUCCUGAUAUCAGUGAGAUGGGAAUUAAUGAGAUUGAGCCUUCCGAUGCGAGUGAUAUGGAUCAUCAGGGUAAUUUCUCUGAACAUUGUGAGUCUGAUACUGGACUAGAAGCUGAUAGCUCUUUUGAGCAUGAUGGUUUUGAAGCCGUUGAGGCUGAGCAUGUGCAGAUUUAGGUUUGUACCUAAUAUUAUCCCUCAUUAUUAUCAUUUUAUGAUGAAUAUUAUUGCUUGGAAUGUUAGAGGUGCUGGUAAAGAUAGGUGUGCUAGUACUAUUAAGGCCCUAAAAAAGGCUUAUCCCAUUGAUGUGUUUACUAUUCUUGAGCCUCGAAUAAGUGGCUCUAGGGCUCUCAGUGUUGCCCAGAGUUUGGGUUUUUCUCAUUACCAUAUUGUUGAUGCUUUUGGUUUUUCUGGGGGUGUUUGGUUGUUGUGGAAUGGGAAUUCAGUUUCUCUUCAAGUUAUUCCGCACUCUAGCCAAUCUAUCACUGCGUUAGUAACUUUGAGGAAUCAUAGGUGCCUCCUCGCUAUUGUUUAUGCAAACCCUUGCCCUGGGAUUUGAGAAGCUUUGUGGAAGUACUUUGAUGGUCUUAUUGAAGCUUCCAAUCAGCCAUGGCUUGUUCUAGGUGAUUUUAAUGAUAUUGUGAGUGUGGAUGAGAAAUGUGGGGGUAAUUUAGAUCAAGGUGGUAAAAAUUUUUAAGAGUGGAUUGAUGGUAACCAUUUCGUUGACCUGGGUUUCAUUGGGGCAAAGUUUACUUCGUGUAAUAAACAGAAUGCUGAAGGAAAUAUUUGGAAGAGGCUUGAUAGGGGCCUUUGUGGUAUUGAUUGGCGUCUUUUGUUCCCUGAGGCUCACCUCCUGCAUCUUCCUAGGGUGAAUUCAGAUCACUGUCCUAUUUUGGUGUGCCUUGACUCCAAACAUUAUCCUAAUAGAGCAAAUGUGCCUUUUCGUUUCCAAGCCAUGUGGAUGUCUCAUCCUGAUUUUAAGGAAUUUGUUACGAACCUUUGGAGUUCUGGUGAUGGUCAUGCUGUGCACAGAUCAGCUAGGCUCGUGGCUCCGCUUGGCAUUUGGAAUCAGCAGGUUUUUAGUUGUUUAUUUACAAUGAAAAGGCAUCUUUUAGCUAGACUUGCAGGAAUUUAAAAGAAGCUUUGUCAUGAGCAUAAUCCUUUCCUUAGUGAGCUUGAGGUUGAGCUUACUAAAGAUUACAAUUUACUACUGGAUCAAGAAAAGACUUUUUGGCUACAAAAGUCCAGGAAUACCUGGCUUAAAGAAGGGGACAGGAAUACUCGGUUCUUCCAUCUGUCUACAGUUGUUAGACGAAGAAUGAAUAAGUUGGAAUGGUUACAUGAUGAUUUUGGGGAUUGGAUUACUGAGAAACAGAGCAUGAAACAUAUUAUUGUUAAUUAUUUUGACAAAUUACGGAUAACAUUAUUGUUGCUCAAGAAGUGCUCCACAAUUUUAAAUAUGCCAAAGAGAAGAAGGGUUUUAUAGCUUGGAAAAUUGAUUUAUCCAAAGCUUAUGAUCGUAUGCAAUGGCCUUUUAUUAGGGAGGUUCUCUGGGAAGUGGGCAUUAAAGGAAGCAUUUUGGAGUUGCUUAUGCAGUGUAUCAUUUCUGUGCAGUACAAGGCCAUUCUUAAUGGGGAGCUAAUUGACUCUUUCUCUCCUCAGUGUGGUAUUAGGCAGGGGGACCCUCUCUCCCCUUAUAUAUUUGUUUUGUGUAUGGAAAAACUCUCUCAUCUCAUUCAACAAAAGAUUCAGGAUAGAGCUUGGAAAUCUGUUCGGAUUUGUCAAGGAGGUCCUCAUAUUUCCCAUUUAUUCUUUGUUGAUGAUUUAAUCCUUUUUGGGGAAGCAACUAUUGAUCAAGCUUGGUUGAUGAAAUAGUGUUUGGAUGAUUUCUGUCAGUUGUGUGGUCAGCGAGUUAUCUUUGAAAAGUCUAUGAUAUGUGUUUCCCCAAAUACGUGCUCUGAUUUGGCUAAUUCAAUUGCUAUGAUUAGUGGUUCUCCUCUCACUGCUAGCCUUGGUAAGUACCUUGGUGUCCCACUAGAGUCAGUAAACAAACAUAUCAAGAGGUUAUUGCUAAAGUCCCAAAGAGAUUAGCUUCUUGGAAGAGCCAUAUGGCUGGUUGAAUUACUUUGCUUCAAUCUGUUACUGCUGCUAUUCCUAUCUAUACUAUACAAACUGUCAAGUUGCCUAUGUCUGUCUGUGAUAAAUUGGAUCUGCUCAACAGGAAUUUUCUUUGGGGGCAUACCAGUAAUACUUCUAAAAUCCAUCUUGUCAACUGGGAGCAAGUGUGUAAACCUAAGGUAGUUGGUGGGUUAGUCAUUAAAAGGUCUGCUUGGAUGAACCAAGCUCUUUUGGCUAAGACUGGAUGAAGACCUCUUAAACAUGAGCAAGGUUUGUGGUCUCAGGUCUUCUAUGCCAAGUACUUAAAACACCAAAACAUUUUAACCGUGAAGGACUCUUUUUUCCCUUGUAGCUCUAGUGUCUGGAGGGGUGUUCUUUAUGGUAAUUCUGUCAUUUGCAAAGGUGUUAAGUGGAGAGUUGGUUAUGGGGAUAAUGUGUUAUUUUGGACUGAUAGGUGGUUGAGUUGUGGUCCUUUGUAUCAAUAUUUGCUCAUUGAUCUUUUUGAGGAAAUGCUUCAGCUGAAUGUUGGUGAUUUUUUGGAUGAGGGGGUCUGGGACUUUAACUGCUUAAGGGAAUGUCUUCCUUUUCAUGUUAUUCAGUUAAUUUUAAGUGUUCAUGCUGGUUUUAAUGGCAGUGGGGCUGAUAGAUAUAUUUGGCAGUUCACGACUAAUGGUUCUUUCUCGGCUAAAUCAGCCUAUAGUUCCUUUUUACCUGCAGAGGCUUUAGUUAAAUGGGACUGGCAGUUUCUUUGGAGGUUACGGCUCCCUCCUAAGGUUAAAACUUUUCUUUGGAUUGUUUGUCAUCGAAAGUUGCUUACUAAUGUGCAAAGGCAGAAGAGAGGCCUCACUCAAGUUCCUACUUGUCCUAGAUGUGAUUAUCCUAUGGAAACUAUUGCUCACUUAUUUAAAGAUUGUCCUUUCUCUUUGGCCAUUUGGAAUUGUCUUCAAAUUGGAAAUAAUCCUAGCCCUGAUAUGGUGGACUUUAAUGAGUGGCUGUUAAGGAAUCUACAAUCUAAUGGAAAGUGACUCUAGUGUGGAUGUGGCUCUUCUUUCUAGCUCUACUAUUUCCACACACCCCCUGUUUAGCCUUAUUAGGUGUUGCAAGUUAAAGGUGCAAGCUGGUUGGAGAUGUUCUGUUAUGCACAUCUUCAGAGAGAAGAAUGUGGCAGCUCACAUCUUGGCUUCUAAGAGUUCUGAGUUUGGCACUGGGGUGCAGUAUUUUACUGAGGUGCCUACAUUUCUUGCGACUUGUUUGCCUGAGGAUGCUAUUGGGGUGUCCAGGUCUAAUGUUGUUUGUGCUUAUAUUGGGUGUCCAGGUCCCGUGUUGUUUGUGCUUAGUCUGUUUGUUCUUGGCCCUUAGCCCCUCUUGUUGCCAAAAAAAAAAAAACAGUCAAAAACACAACCCAUCCCCACUUCCAGCGAUAUCUGUGGUGGUGUUGGGUGGGGAUGGUUGAUAUCGUUGCCAUUGUCUCCUCUCAGUCCCACCCCAACUUGACUACCUCCUCCCACGCCCCCACCAACCGAGCGAGUACAACCUAACACUCUCUCUCUCUCUCUCUCUCUCUCUCACAGAGGAGGCUUUUGCCUCUAUCAAAGGUGACGGUAAAUUCGACAAGGGAGGGCUUUUAGACCCACCCCUUCUCUCUUGUUUGUAGGGGUGGACAUGGUCUAGUUUGGCCCGAUUUGCACCUAAAAAAGAAAUAUAAAUCAAUAUUAUUCAUUUGAUGUGGUAUGGUCUAGCUAUUGACUAAAAUGACUAGGAGAACCGGACCAAUCUGAACUUGCCGGUCUUGGUUCUAUGGAAUUGCAAUUAAUAUCGUAUCCGAUUAUAUUUAGAUUUUUCCGCAUUAAUUUAUAAAAAAUUUAUAAAAGUAUUCGGAUAUUAUUUAUUUAUUUAUUUAGAGGAACUAGUAAAUUUUCCUUAAAUUGUCAAAGGUUACAGGCUUGAGCGAACAAACAUGGCCUCAUAAAAACCUUGCCCAGGAAAAGUAUUUGGAUACGCUUUCAUUGCUGUAUACGGUUUAAUACCGGUCUUGCGUAGGAAUUGACAUAUCUUGCAAUACGAUGCCUUCCAAUUAGGUUAUGAACUCGAGCAAACAAACGUGUUCUUAUUGAUACCGUAUCCACUGCAAUUAAUACCGUAUCAAUUAUUGAGUUUUAUCCACAUCAGUUUAUAAAGUUUAUAGAAGUAUUUGGAUACGCUUUCAUCCUAUUCAAAAGUUGUACAUAUUAAAAAGAGUAAAUUGUCGUAGACCUCCCCAAAUUAGGACCCCAAUCGAACUUAACUUUAUGAACUAAAAAAUAAGCUAAUUUAACACCCAAAUUAAUUAAAAUUGUCAAUUUAAUACCUGCCGUUAGAUUUUAUCACUUUUCAUCUAAAAUUCCUUCGUACGUGGCAUGUGAGACACAUGUGCAAUAUAAUUGGAGAACAAUAUAGUUCUUCAAACCUGUUUUCCUACCACUAUUCAGCUUCCCUAAUAGUUGAGGCCAAAUUAAAAAUAGAGGAGCCCUAAUUUCACAAAUUCCACCAUUACAGACAAUUGUUAUGACAUAUACCCACCCACAGCAUACAGUUGAGAAGAAGGAGAAGAAGAUGAAGUGGUUAGAAAAUGCAAAGGAACAUGCCUAGAGCAAAUGGUUCAGCCGAGUCCAAGUUCAAAUACCUGGAGCAAGAGGUUCUCUGUGUGUUCUAGAGAUAAGGAGCCUUCAGUCGGAUCUGACAUCAACUAUCCUCAUCAUUUGUUACCAAGUUAAUCGAGCCUAAACGUCUUGGUGCAAAACUUGCCUUUGUGGAGCAUUUGCCUUUUCACAACCAUUGACAGGGGGUAUAUUGACCCAGUUGUAAAGUGAGGAGGUAUUUAAGCCCCUAUUCUAAUUAAGAGUCUCUCUAUUGAUCUACACUUUCUUCAUUUAGACCCGUUUGGUUCAUGAGAAAUCAAUUGCUUUAAAUGUUUGGUAAGCUUAGGCAUAUAAGACAGAAAUAUCAUGCGGUGUUACUGCCAAAUUCACAAGGGAAGUUUUCAGUGAUGAAAAUUGGGAUCAAACAGGUCAACAAUGGUAUAAGAGGGAUCUAAAUCCUAUUGGCAUUGAUGAAAAUUGUGUUGUGUAUUCAUUUAUCUUGGACAAAGGAGAGAACAUGUAGCACAAAAGCAAAGUAGAACACAUCAAUUUAUGUAUAGAGAACAUUAAUCAGUACUUUCUACUUCUUGGAUCAAGGAAGAGGUGCCAAGGACGAUGUAGCACAACCAAGAGCCUUUGUCACGCCAGUAAUUGCGGGCUUGACAUUAGAACACACAGAGGUAAGAGGGCCUUUGUCUCCACCGUAGGUGAGAUCAAUGUCAGUCAACUCCACAUUCUCACACGGUUUGCCCGUGGUACAUACAAGCUUGACUGCAAGUGGAGUGAAAGAUGAGCCCUUAAUGUUCUUGAAGCUGACAUUGUUGAUCUUAACUUUUGACGGAGGCUUUUGUUCACACUUAGUAUAUGGGCAGUACAAUUGGUCUAUGAGGAUAGGGUUACUGACAUUAACCAUGAUAAUAUCCUCAUAGUGUAUACCCGAGGCAGAGCUAGGCGAAGGAGAAUCUGGAAAUGUUUUGAUUCUCACACCGUUCUCCGUAUUAGUCAGGGUGCAGUUCUUAACUAUGAUCCCGGUCACAUCCUUUUCUUCCUUAUAUUUUCCAAGGCUUCCAAUGCUUAUUCCAUGGCCUGGCCCACAAGUAACACCAGUCACUGUGAUUUUGUGGGAGUCAUCACCAAUAGAAAUACAGUCAUCCCCAGUUCCAAUCUUUGAAUGAGUAAUGUUGAUACCAGUCGAAGCCCCGAUAUGGAUUCCAUCUGUGUUUCUGCUCUCGUCAGGUGCUGUGAUGGUAAGCUGUUGAAAUGUAGUAUGGUUGCACCGGAAAACAUGGAUGUGGAAAAAUUUGCUGUUAAGUGAAGUUAUGUCCUGAACUUUGGAAUUUGUGAGGAAUUCAAACCGCAGAUUAACGGGAGGAGGUUUGCAAUUUU
rnacentral:lncRNA from 1 species